rnacentral:lncRNA from 1 species
CAGGAUGGCCCAUUUCGGAAUAAUGGGAACCCUAAUUGGCCAUCACCUUAUAUAUAGGCUAUGGUCCCCAAUAUACCGUACAUGAGCAAAUAAUCUCUUCUCCCCAUCUGAAGAGAAUUCAAGGCAUUAGUGUACCGGUUGAGGAAGAACCACAAGCCAACGGAUGCUCGUCGUCCGUCUCUCUCUUUGUGUUUCAGGAUUGCUACCGAGAGAUUCUGCGGUUAGUUCAUCUAAUGGAUUCAUCAUCCAGGUAUUCCUAUUCCUAUUACUAUAAUCUUGAUAAAUCAACAUGUCGUAGAUCCUGUUU